UACGAAGGGUGCAAGCGUUAAUCGGAAUUACUGGGCGUAAAGCGUGCGUAGACGGUAACGUAAGUCAGAUGUGAAAGCCCCGGGCUCAACCUGGGAAUUGCAUUUGAGACUGCGUUGCUCGGGUGCGGAAGAGGGAAGCGGAAUUUCCGGUGUAGCGGUGAAAUGCGUAGAGAUCGGGAGGAACAUCAGUGGCGAAGGCGGCCAUCUGGGACAACACUGACGCUGAAGCACGAAAGCGUGGGGAGCAAACAGG
rnacentral:rRNA from 1 species